AGUAGCGGAGACUACAGGCACCUGCCACUGCGCCUGGCUAAUUUUUUGUAUUUUUAGUAGAGAUGGGGUUUCACCGUGUUAGCCAGGAUGGUCUUGAUCUCCUGACCUCGUGAUCCGCCUGCCUCGGCCUCCCAAAGUGCUGGGAUUACAGGUGUGAGCCACCGUGCCUGGCCUGGAAAACAUUAAAAAAAAAACAAAAACAGAAGGAAAAGGGUGUUUGAGCCAAGAGGAAACUUCCCCUUUGCCCUCUGAAGUUUUGCUGAAAAAUCAACUGACAAAAGGCAAAUUAAUUGGAGAUAGGCUAUAUAAAUGUAUUUAAUAUUGCCUAAUAAAAAAGCCCCACCAGCUCUUUUCAGAGGUUGAGUCAGGGAAUUCUCUGUCUGUCUCGUGCUGCCUCCAUUAUGCCUGGACAUAAACUCCAAUGAAGCCUUGUCUGGGGAAACUAUUUUGGCCUCAUGUCAAUUCCUACUGCAUUGAGAGCCCCAAAACUCGUGGUCAGUAACAUAUUCUUUGGGGACUCAUCCAAGAUCACAGGACGUGGAGAGCCUUUCUCUAUCUGAGAGGGUGACUUGUGAGGUGACGGGACUGCUGGAAAAGAUCCCUUUAUGGCUGACAAGCAGCUGCCUGAAGUUUUGAUUCAGUGUCACCGCAAUGGGUGAGUCUUUCUCCAGCCUCCUGGAACUCCUCACCUUCCCCACACAGACGAUGCCUUUCUCCCUUCCCUUUCCUCCCUCUGUCUCCUUUCCUCUUCCUAUCUUUUCUGUCACUCAGGGCGCUUUGCCUCUCCUCUCCUAAUCCUUACUGGUUUGGGUUGCUUGAAUAGACAUCUAUGAGGGACGGGUUGAAACAGCCUCCCUAGUUUACUGGUCUGGGUCACCUGAAUAGCCACCCAUGCAGGAAGGAUGAAAACAGUUGACUAUCCAGGUCUGAUUAACUCAGCCGGCAUUGGGACAGGUCACAUCCCUCCCUGGCCUAAGUUGUUGUUGGCUCAAAUCCCAAGAAAAAAAUUCUCUCUCUCUCUUUUCCUCUCUCCCUCUCUGGCACCCUGAACUUUGAUCCUGUAACUAUUUGAAACCCCUCAUUAUGUCACUUCCCUAGGCCUGUAAUCUUUUAGAGUUUCUGUCUGUACAAAUGUAUAGUCCUGUCGGUUUGGGGAGACUGCCUGAGACACAGUGCUGGGGACGCCCAUCUAGUCUUCAGGAAGGCACCAGGGAUGCCUGGGUGCGACUGCCAGUAUUGGUUCUCUGCAUAACAGGAAAAGUUCAGAGUUCAAAUGGUUAACCUGCAACUAUAGAGAUAAGUAAACUUAACUUCAUAAAUUUAAAUUUGAGAGGCUUUCGCCUAUGGUUCCAUAAAACAGAAAAGAUGAUUUUCUUUUGUAGGCAUCUUGGCCCCCACAGGUAUGGCACAGAGAGCAGGGUCACCUGAGCCAUUCAGAGAAAGAUAACCCAAACCUCUGGCAUGCCUGUAAAAGGGAGCAUGACCUUGUUACCAUAUGGGGAUACUCUCUCGUGGUCUCUUCCAUCCAGAGGGCAGGAAUUAUCAGGUUCAUAUCAGGAGGCCAGUCUGAAAGGACCAGGAGGUUGAGAUGAGUCAGCACACUCUUGGUCCGAAGGUGUCAAGGCCUGGGAGAUGACCUAAGGUAAUUUCUGACAGCCUGGGACUUCUUGGGAGAAACAUGGGAGGUGCCACCGACCCUGUUUUGGGAGAAAAUUUUGUUGUCCUCGUGGAACCCCA
rnacentral:lncRNA from 1 species